GCUGCAUGGUUGUCGUCAGCUCGUGCCGUGAGGUGUCGGGUUAAGUCCGUAACGAGCGCAACCCUUGUCCUUAGUUACCAGCACGGUUAUGGUGGGCACUCUAAGGAGACUGCCGGUGACAAACCGGAGGAAGGUGGGGAUGACGUCAAGUCAUCAUGGCCCUUACGGCCUGGGCUACACACGUGCUACAAUGGUCGGUACAAAGGGUUGCCAAGCCGCGAGGUGGAGCUAAUCCCAUAAAACCGAUCGUAGUCCGGAUCGCAGCCUGCAACUCGACUGCGUGAAGUCGGAAUCGCUAGUAAUCGUGAAUCAGAAUGUCACGGUGAAUACGUUCCCGGGCCUU
rnacentral:rRNA from 1 species